rnacentral:rRNA from 1 species
ACGGAGGGUGCGAGCGUUAAUCGGAAUUACUGGGCGUAAAGCGUAUGCAGGCGGUUCAUUAAGUCAGGUGUGAAAGCCCGGGGCUUAACCUGGGAACUGCAUUUGAAACUGGUGAACUGGAGUACGGUAGAGGGGGGUGGAAUUUCAGGUGUAGCGGUGAAAUGCGUAGAGAUGUGGAGGAACACCGAUGGCGAAGGCAGCCCCCUGGGCCGAUACUGACGCUCA